GCCGCUAAAGUGAUUUCUACCCGGCAGAAAAUAUUGCACAUGGAAUUUUAGAAAGAGAGAACGGUUUCAUGGAGCAUUGUCUCUGUCCUUGAGACCGA